rnacentral:lncRNA from 1 species
CAUUAUUGGCAGCUGAAGAGAAAGUCUGCGAAGACAAAAAUAGUCUUUUCACAGUGAUCUUAAUGUAAGACCACAAACAUGAUGUCCAGUCCUAGAGGCAACAGGAACUGGAUUUUUGNCUCUGGAUUUCCUCAUCCACCUCCUGCAUUCUUCAUUCUGGAUCAGAAUUCACACUUGGUAAUGCUGCUAAUGUUUCAGGAAAGGCUUCCUGUAUGUAGCUAGAAGGCAUUGCAUCACCUCUCCUGUUUCUGAGGCUGUGUUGGAAACACUGAGGCAAUUCUGCACAGAAUAAGACCUACGACAACAAUCUGCCUUAUUUUGUAGCAGAAUGUUUGAUCANCUGAGUGCCAAAAACAAAAGUUACAUUGAGCUCUGCUAUCCUUUCCAGUGGCUAUCAAGGGAGGAGGAAACCACAGCAAUGCNAAGCCAUUUGCUUUUCUUUACGAAAUGGACUCAAGACAUCUUGGCCGCGUUCCGACACGGCAUUUAAUCAGUUUACAGUCCGUCUUCAGUUCCCGCUGUCCCGACAUGAUCUUGCCNUUCCGUAGUUUUUCUGGACUAUAUCGGCGAAAUCCGGACUACUUUGUAUUCGAA